rnacentral:rRNA from 1 species
UACGUAGGGGGCUAGCGUUGCUCGGAAUCACUGGGCGUAAAGGGUGCGUAGGCGGGUCUUUAAGUCAGGGGUGAAAUCCUGGAGCUCAACUCCAGAACUGCCUUUGAUACUGGCGAUCUCGAGUCCGGGAGAGGUGAGUGGAACUGCGAGUGUAGAGGUGAAAUUCGUAGAUAUUCGCAAGAACACCAGUGGCGAAGGCGGCUCACUGGCCCGGUACUGACGCUGAGGUGCGAAAGCGUGGGGAGCAAACAGG